CUUUUCAGGAAAUGGCGGCCGGCAGGUGUCCUCAAUGGCCAUCAGCAGAGGGUCCUCCAGCACAACCAGUGCUGCUGACCUUUGAGGAGUUUGUGGCACAGAACGCUGGCCCCUCGCCGGGAACAGGUGCAUCUACCGUUGGCGGUGGUCUUCGCAACACUCCCGAGACACGGAGCCCGACCACUCCGAUCCACGGAGCCGGAGGCGGAGGCGAACGUGGAGGCGGUCUUGGCGGUAGCGCUGCCGCUAGCAGUGACGACCUGGGCUUCGGCGGUCUUGGCGGUGACGACCUCCGCGGUGCUCGACGUCUUGGCGCUUAAGCCUUUCGGGCACAUUUUGCCGGUUCUCGAUGCUAUGAUACUUAUAUGCUUGUGAUGUUUCUUAUCUUAUUGUUGUUUGUGAGAUUCUUAUAUGCUUGGUGGUGAUGAUACUUAUAUGUUUAUGCUUUGCGAUGCUUCUUAUGAUGUGUGAUGAUGAAUUUGUUGUGUGAUGCUGCUCCUUAUUGUUA